GAUGAACACUGGCGGCGUGCUUAACACAUGCAAGUCGAACGAUGAAGCCCAGCUUGCUGGGUGGAUUAGUGGCGAACGGGUGAGUAACACGUGAGCAACCUGCCCCUGACUCUGGGAUAAGCGCUGGAAACGGCGUCUAAUACUGGAUAUGUCCCGUCACCGCAUGGUGUGCGGGUGGAAAGAUUUUUCGGUUGGGGAUGGGCUCGCGGCCUAUCAGCUUGUUGGUGAGGUAAUGGCUCACCAAGGCGUCGACGGGUAGCCGGCCUGAGAGGGUGACCGGCCACACUGGGACUGAGACACGGCCCAGACUCCUACGGGAGGCAGCAGUGGGGAAUAUUGCACAAUGGGCGGAAGCCUGAUGCAGCAACGCCGCGUGAGGGAUGACGGCCUUCGGGUUGUAAACCUCUUUUAGCAGGGAAGAAGCGAAAGUGACGGUACCUGCAGAAAAAGCACCGGCUAACUACGUG
rnacentral:rRNA from 1 species